CAAGCAAAGGUGGACAUGAUAGUGGCUGCAGCAGGACAUACUCUGGGACAGUGUCUCUCUCUCUCCUCUCUCCCCCACAGGGCACUCCUCUCUCAGCAGGCAGACCUGGGGCUCUAAGGUCCUUCGCCUCACCUUGGGGAUCCUCUGCCUUUUUGGGUAAGCCCUCCAAACAGGAUACCGGACACAUCCAUGCUACAGUCACAGCAGCAGCUUCAUGUCCCCAAGGACUGGUUCUCCAUCCACAUGAAACGCUAAUAUAACAGAAUGCCAAGGUGUGCUGGGGGCCAGGAACUGCAGCAGCAGGAGUUCAGAGAAGAGAAGACAGGGUGGGGGUGAGACAGUUCUGCACAAUUUACAGGUAAAGAAACAGAAGCAGCACAGAAGAGAAGAGAUGGAGUUCAAAUGAACCUCACACAUCAAUAAAUUAUGUUUGCCAACCA